GUAUCAUGAAGGAAGAGGUAAAGGGAAUUCCUGUAAGGGUGGCAUUGAGGUGCCGCCCUCUGGUCCCGAAAGAGAUCGGUGAGGGUUGUCAGGUGUGCCUUUCCUUUGUGCCUGGGAAGCCUCAGGUGGUGAUUGGUACUGAUAAAUCCUUUACCUACGAUUUUGUGUUUGACCCUUCCACUGAACAGGAAGAGGUUUUCAACACAGCAGUAGCACCGCUCAUUAAAGGGAUAUUUAACGGUUACAAUGCCACUGUUCUGGCUUAUGGACAAACUGGCUCUGGAAAAACCUACUCUAUGGGAGGCGCAUAUAGUGCAGAUCAAGAGAAUGAACCAACCAUAGGGGUCAUUCCUAGGGUAAUACAACUUCUUUUUAAAGAAAUGGAAGAAAAGAGAGACUCUGAGUUUACACUGAGAGUGUCUUACUUGGAGAUUUACAAUGAAGAAAUUUUGGAUCUUCUAUGCUCACCUUGUGAGAGAGCUUCUCAAAUACAUAUCCGGGAAGAUCCCAAGGCAGGAAUAAAGACUGUAGGACUCACUGAGAAGACGAUUUCAGUUGCCUCGGACAUGGUUUCCUGUUUGGAGCAGGGAAACAACGCCAGGACUGUAGCUGCCACAGCCAUGAAUUCACAGUCUUCCCGAUCUCACGCCAUCUUCACAGUUUCCAUAAGGCAAAGGAAGAAGAUGGACAAGAACAGCAGUUUUCACUCUAAGUUGUGUCUGGUAGAUCUUGCAGGAUCAGAAAGGCAGAAGAAAACCAAGGCUGAAGGGGAUCGAUUGAGAGAAGGCAUUAAUAUUAACCGAGGACUCCUGUGCUUGGGAAAUGUAAUCAGCGCUCUUGGAGAUGGCAAAAAAGGCAGCUUUGUGCCCUACAGAGAUUCCAAGUUAACUCGCUUGCUUCAAGAUUCUCUAGGAGGCAAUAGCCACACUCUUAUGAUUGCCUGUGUGAGUCCUGCUGACUCCAGUCUAGAGGAAACAUUGAAUACCCUACGUUAUGCUGACAGAGCUAGAAAAAUCAAGAACAAACCUGUUAUUAAUACGGAUCCCCAGACAGUUGAACUUAAUCAGCUUAAGCAUCAGGUACAACAGCUACGAGUCUUAUUGCUACAGGCCCGUGGAGGUAGCCUGCCUGGAUCUAUAAAAGCAGAACCAUCAGAGAGUCUCCAGUCUCUGAUGGAGAGGAAUCAGUCCCUGGGAGAGGAGAAUGAAAAGUUAAGCCAUGCUCUGAGCGAGGCAGCUGGUCAGACAGCCCAGAUGUUGGAAAGGAUCAUUGUGACAGAGCAAGCAAAUGAAAGACUGAACACCAAGCUGCAAGAGCUCAGGCAUCACGAAGCCUGUAAAGUAGAUCUCCAAAAGCUAAUGGAGACUUUAGAAGACCAGGAAUUAAUAGAAAAAGUAGAGAUAAUUCGCAGUCUGCAACAAGCUGUCAUUCAUCUAUCAGAUGAAAAUGUUGUGGCCUCUGAAUCGGCAAUGGAAGCUCAAGUGGCAAUCAGUCCAGAGAGUGGGAGGUCUUCUGAUGCUCUCACCACACAGCAUGCUCUACGCCAAGCUCAGAUGUCUAAGGAACUUACUGAGCUGGAUAAAGCUCUUGCAGUGAAAGAGGCCCUAGCUAGGAAGAUAACUUUCAAUGGUGGCCAACUACAGCCCAUUCACUGCCAGUAUGAGACUAACAUCAAAAGUCUAGAAUCAGAAGUCACCUGUCUGCAGAAGGAAAAGGAACAAUUGCUCCUGGAUCUUCAGUUGGCAAAGAAGGAUGUCAACCAAGCCAAGUUGAGUGAGCACCGCCGCAAAUGUCUUCAAGAGCUGGAAGCUCAAAUAGCUGAUUUGAAGAGGAAACUAAAUGAACAGUCCAAGCUUCUGAAACUGAAAGAGUCCACUGAGAAUACUGUCUCCAAACUGACUCUGGAGAUACAGAUGAUGAAAACCCAGCGAGUCCAGUUAAUGCGUCGGAUGAAGGAAGAUGCUGAGAAGUCUAGACAGUGGAAACAACAAAAAGACAAGGAAGUAAUCCAGUUAAGAGAACAAGACCGUAAAAGGAGGUACGAGCUGGUUAAACUUGAAAGAGACUUCCAGAAACAGUCCAACGUGCUCAGGCGUAAAACUGAAGAGGCAGCAGCUGCAAACAAGCGCCUCAAGGAUGCCCUCCAAAAGCAACGGGAAGCAGCGGAGAAGCGAAAAGAGACGCAGAACCGUGGCCUAGAAGGCACAGAAGCACAAGUGAAGAACUGGCUUACAAAUGAGAUUGAAGUUAUGGUCAGUACUGAAGAAGUCAAACACCACCUGAAUGACCUUCUGGAAGAGCGGAAGAGACUAGCCCUGGAUGUGGCCCAACUUAAAGAAAACAAGGAACCCGGGGAAAACCCACCUCCUAAGCUCCAGAAGUGGACAUCCCCUAGUGAUGAAGUAUGUGGUCCUAUUUCUGAGCCUGAGGAUUCUAUUACAAAGCAGAUUAGGAGCCUAGAGGCUGAAAUAGAACUCAGGAGUGCUCAGAUUGCUGACCUACAGCAAAAGCUCCUGGAUGCAGAAAGUGAAGACAGGCCAAAACGACACUGGGAAAAUAUCACCACAGUUCUCGAAGCCAAAUGUGCUCUAAAGUAUUUAGUUGGUGAGGUGGUUUCCUCCAAACUUCAGGUCAGUGAGCUUGAAAGCAACCUGAAACAGAGCCAGGCAAGCCAUUCUAAAAUGCAGAAGAUGCUGUUUGAGGAGCAAAGUCAUCUUGUUGAGGUAGAGACAGAGUUGAAAGCUGAGCUGCUCAAGGUGGAGCGAAAGCACCAAGAAAAGGUACUCUACUUUCUCAGUCAGCUGCAGCAAAGCCAAAUGGCAGAGAAGAAGCUGGAGGUGUCAGUUAGUGGGAAGGAACAGCAGCUGCUGAACACAUUGCAGUGUCAGGAGGAUCAGUUUAGCAAAAUGCAAGAAUUAUGUGAGCAAAACCAGCAGCUUCUUCAAGAGAAUGAAGCCAUCAGGCAGAAACUGAGUCUCCUUCAAGGAGCCAAAGAGCAGAAAUCUCAUCUUCCCAAGGAUGGCCUCCAAUCUCCAGACUCUACCUUUGACUACAUCCCACCUCCACUCAAAGCACUCCAUGUUAGAGGCAAGUUCCUGGAUCAAAGCAUGGACAUUGAUGAUGUAAAGUAUCAUUCAGAGCAUUCCACGAGUGAAUCUGAAGAUAGUGAUGGAAAUGAUAAGGAGUGGAAACCAAGGAAACUGGCUAAAGUGUCCAGGAAGACUAUCCAAGGGUGUUCCUGCAAGGGAUGGUGUAGGAACAAACACUGUGGGUGCAGGAAACAAGGGGUGGACUGCUGUGUGGCCUGUGGCUGUGACCCCACAAAGUGCCGGAACCGCCAGCAAGAAGAAGAGGGCUUGGGUACUGUUGAGUGGAACCAGGAUACUGAUGGCUCCUUCAAACUGGACGACCCUACAGAGGUGACCCCAGGACUGAGCUUCUUCAACCCUGUCUGUGCCACUCCCAAUACAAAGCUUCUUAAAGAGAUGUGUGAUAUGGACCAGGCUCUGUUGCGGGAGACUGAUCUUGCAGUUUCCUUAGACCUCCCAGCCAUAAAACACAGAGCAACAGAAUCCCAAGAAAAUAAGGCCACAGGGAAGAAAAAGAAACGAGCUCUGGCCUGCAAUAGCAACUUCUUCUCUGGUUGCUCUCCUGCCAAAGAAGAG